rnacentral:rRNA from 1 species
GAGUUUGAUCGUGGCUCAGAUUGAACGCUGGCGGCAUGCCUUACACAUGCAAGUCGAACGGCAGCAUGAUCUAGCUUGCUAGAUUGAUGGCGAGUGGCGAACGGGUGAGUAAUACAUCGGAACGUGCCCUGUAGUGGGGGAUAACUAGUCGAAAGAUUAGCUAAUACCGCAUACGACCUGAGGGUGAAAGUGGGGGACCGCAAGGCCUCAUGCUAUUGGAGCGGCCGAUGUCUGAUUAGCUAGUUGGUGGGUAAAGGCCCACCAAGGCGACGAUCAGUAGCUGGUCUGAGAGGACGAUCAGCCACACUGGGACUGAGACACGGCCCAGACUCCUACGGGAGGCAGCAGUGGGGAAUUUUGGACAAUGGGCGAAAGCCUGAUCCAGCAAUGCGCGUGUGUGAAGAAGGCCUCGGUGUAAG